rnacentral:tRNA from 1 species
CGGGGCGUAGCUCAGCCUGGUAGAGUACUUGCUUCGGGAGCAAGGAGUCGCUGGUUCAAAUCCAGUCGCCCCGACCA